rnacentral:lncRNA from 1 species
GCUCCUGCCAGGCGGGACCGACCGACGGACCAACGCCGGCCACCCGGCUCUCCUUGCCGCCGCCGCGGCAGGCGCGGGACCGCGCGGCGAGGCCUGAUCCCUGCAGCGCGGACGGGCGGCGUCGCAGAACGGAGCCAGCCAGAAGCGCCCGGACUCCUGCAGUUCCCAGGACCAUGCCUGCCAGAAAGCAGACGUGAAUGAACAGCAGAAGCAGAAGCUGCAAAUGACACAGGAGGACAUCCGCGGAGCAUUCGAUCUCACCCAAAUCCGUGAGAGUGAUUUCCCAGCCAUUGAUUUGGCCAGGACAACCAGAAAACAGGAUUCUUAUCUUCUUUUUGGCCGCUAAAUGCCUAUGUGCACCACACAUUCCAGUGAAGGAAGAAGAGCAGAACUUCUUGGAUGACGAUGGAUAUUCUACUGGGCAGGAUGAGGGCAGAGUGUGUGACAUCAACACCAUAAGGGUGCAGCGUGAAUUUCCUCGUCUCCCUCCCCAGCCAGCU